AAGUCGUAACAAGGUUUCCGUAGGUGAACCUGCGGAAGGAUCAUUACUGUAUGACCUCCACCUCACCAUGGGUCAACAUGGUGGACCACCUUCUUGUAGUUGACCAUUCAAUGGGCCUGCCAUCACUCGGCUCAUGUCCCGGGUGCCAGCUGUCCGUCGUGGUCACCUACGCCUCACUGCACACAAAGCCCUCACCGUAUGGUUUUGAUUCAUGAUCAUAUAUGACAUAACUUUCAACAACGGAUCUCUUGGCUCUC
rnacentral:misc_RNA from 1 species